rnacentral:rRNA from 1 species
UAACCUGCCCAAGAGAUCGGGAUAACACCUGGAAACAGAUGCUAAUACCGGAUAACAACAGAUGAUGCCUAUCAACUGUUUAAAAGAUGGUUCUGCUAUCACUCUUGGAUGGACCUGCGGUGCAUUAGCUAGUUGGUAGGGUAACGGCCUACCAAGGCGAUGAUGCAUAGCCGAGUUGAGANACUGAUCGGCCACAUUGGGACUGAGACACGGCCCAAACUCCUACGGGAGGCAGCAGC